rnacentral:rRNA from 1 species
AUUGAACGCUGGCGGCAGGCCUAACACAUGCAAGUCGAGCGGAUGACGGGAGCUUGCUCCUUGAUUCAGCGGCGGACGGGUGAGUAAUGCCUGGGAAUCUGCCUGGUAGUGGGGGACAACGUUUCGAAAGGAACGCUAAUACCGCAUACGUCCUACGGGAGAAAGCAGGGGACCUUCGGGCCUUGCGCUAGCAGAUGAGCCUAGGUCGGAUUAGCUAGUUGGUGGGGUAAUGGCUCACCAAGGCGACGAUCCGUAACUGGUCUGAGAGGAUGAUCAGUCACACUGGAACUGAGACACGGUCCAGACUCCUACGGAAGGCAGCAGUGGGGAAUAUUGGACAAUGGGCGAAAGCCUGAUCCAGCCAUGCCGCGUGUGUGAAGAAGGUCUUCGGAUUGUAAAGCACUUUAAGUUGGGAGGAAGGGCAGUAAGCUAAUACCUUGCUGUUUUGACGUUACCGACAGAAUAAGCACCGGCUAACUCUGUGCCAGCCGCCGCCGUAACAC